GCACGCCUCCCCUGCUUCUUUCCCUUUCUCCUAUUUUCUUCUUUCUCUCCACUUUUCGGAUACGCACGCCCCCCCUGCUUUCCUUCUCCUCUCUUCAUCUUUCUUUCUCUCCCUCUCUUCUCUGUUUCCCUGACUCCCAUCUCUCCCUUCCUUUCUUCUAUCACGCACGCCUGAGACACGGAGAGCCCGUGAGAGAGAACCGGUAAGAGUGACCCAGCCGUGAGAGUUCUAGAUUGUGAUGGAGAGGUUGUAAUGCAGAGAACCCGAGUGCGUGGAAGCGGAUCCUUGGCCGUGGUGGUACGGUUUCUGAACUGUGGUGGUCGGACCACCGUUGUACCAUGGAGGCAGUGGCUGGAGCAAGGGAUUUUGGCCCUGUUUUGGCACGUGCCGUGAUUGGAGACUUCAACGUGUUCUCCAACCUAGAGUUCAAGUAACUAGAACACGGGGGAAAUGUUUGAGUCAAGAGUCCGAUGCAGUCAAGAUGUUCCUUUGGCUGCAGGUACUCCGGUCAUAGGGGAGAGUGUUGUAGAUGUGCACUUGGGAUAAUAUGACUGAAGCUCGCCGCGACGGUCGUAAUGGUUGGACCACAGUUGUCCACUAUUUUAUAGGUUUUGUUUAUGGCUAGUGACGCUUUAGUCACUUGUUAUUGUAUAAGUCAUUCAUGUUGUUUAAAUAUUAUGUUGAUAGGACUUAAACAUAUAGAUGUUAAAUGGCUCUGUAUUGUAAAUAAUUUGUAAUAGAUGUAUAAGCUAUGCUUUUAGCUAUUCAGGUUUAUGUUUCCGCUGCA